UUUCUAAAGUAUUUAUAUCAGAAGAGCAGUGAACAGACUCAAUUUAAUUCUCCUAAAAAAGUAAAACCAACCCAUAGAUAUCCAUAUAAUCAUAGUAUUUUCAAUACCUAUGAUGAUCAUAACAUGAUAUCCAAUGGUGGUGAGUAUUUAUCUCAGAAAAGCAGCAAUUAGACCUUUUUGAAUUCUCUGAAAAAAGGAAAACCAACCUACAGAUCUCCAUAUAAUCAUAGCAGUAUUUUCAAUACCAUUGAGGAUCAUAACAUGAUAGAUAAUGCCAAUGGUGGUAGGUGUUAUAUAAAGCCCUAGCCAAAAAACAUCAUUCUGUAAUAAUUAUUUCAUUCAAUUUUUCAGAAUAUUCAUUUACUCAAAAAAGGCGUGAACUAAGUCCAGAUAAUUUGUUUGAUUACAAUACUAUUGAUAUAAAUGCUAGUAAACAGAAUAAAUACAAUGCAUUAUAAUUACUGCAGAAAUUCUCCAGAAUUUAUUUUUAAAAGUGGUAAACGUACCAACUCUAAACUACUCUCUCUAAAAAAUCAACACACUGUAGCUUUUAACUCUCCCAAAAAACAAUUUUCGUCUCAACAAAUGCUGAAUAGUCUACCACCUGAUGUUUGUUUGAGAAAACUUUUGGCCAAUCAAGUUGUCAUGAAAAUUGAAUUGAAAUCCAUCAAUAAACAAUUAAAGAAAAUAACUGUGUUUAAGGAUAAUCACUUGGAUAUCGAAAAAGAAGACUUCUCCAAUUUAGACUGUUUAUUUCCUUUAGAAAGUGAGAAUGAUCUAAUAAACAUUGAAAAUCAAAUUCUACUCUCCAACUUGUAGAAAAAAAUUGGUAAAAGAAUUAUCCUUGUCUGGAGGAUCGAAAGUAAAAAUUAUACAGCAAGAAUUUUAAACAAACUAUUCAAAGAUGAACUACUUCAAAAUUACUCCUACUUUGGCAGGAACCAAAAAAAAAGAAAUUUUCCAGCCUCUCAAUAUGCAGUAUAAUUCAUGAUGCAGUUCGACGCAUACACGAUUUUAAAGAUACCAGUACAACCGACAUUGAGACCAGAAUCGGCAAUCAUCUUAUUCAUGCACCAUUUCGUUUAAAAAAACCAUAAC